UGCGGUUAAAAAGCUCGUAGUUGGAUCUCGGCAAGUAGAGGGCGGUAUGCUUCGUAGCAUUACUGCCCUAUUACUUGUAGUUUUGCCAGAGGUUCCUGGGUGCUCUUAAUCGAGUGUCUAGGGAUGCUGGCAGGUUUACUUUGAAAAAAUUAGAGUGCUCAAAGCAGGCUAUUACGCUUGAAUAUUCGUGCAUGGAAUAAUAGAAUAGGAAGUUGUUUCUAUUUUGUUGGUUUUCGGAAAUCGACUUAAUGAUUAAUAGGGACAGUCGGGGGCAUUUGUAUUCAAACGACAGAGGUGAAAUUCUUGGACCGUUUGAAGACAAACUACUGCGAAAGCAUUUGCCAAGAAUGUUUUCAUUAAUCAAGAACGAAAGUUAGAGGUUCGAAGGCGAUUAGAUACCGCCCUAGUUCUAACCAUAAACGAUGCCAGCUAGCGAUCUGAGGACGUUUUUUUUGUAGACUCCUCAGGAAGCUUCCGGGAAACCAAAGCGUGUGGGUUCCGGGGGAAGUAUGGUUGCAAAGCUGAAACUUAAAGGAAUUGACGGAAGGGCACCACCAGGAGUGGAGCCUGCGGCUUAAUUUGACUCAACACGGGAAAUCUCACCAAGCCCGGACACUGGAAGGAUUGACAGAUUGAGAGCUCUUUCUCGAUUCGGUGGGUGGUGGUGCAUGGCCG
rnacentral:rRNA from 1 species